rnacentral:tRNA from 1 species
GGGGUAUAGCUCAGUGGUAGAGUGCCUGCCUAGCAUGCAUGAGGUCCUGGGUUCAAUCCCCAGUACUGCCA